rnacentral:rRNA from 1 species
UACGUAGGGGGCAAGCGUUGUCCGGAAUCCUUGGGCGUAAAGCGCGUGUAGGCGGCCAGAAAAGUCCGCUGUGAAAACUCGAGGCUCAACUUCGAGCUGUCGGUGGAAACUUUCUGGCUAGAGUCCGGAAGAGGAGAAUGGAAUUCCUGGUGUAGCGGUGAAAUGCGCAGAUAUCAGGAAGAACACCCGUGGCGAAGGCGGUUCUCUGGGACGGUACUGACGCUGAGACGCGAAAGCGUGGGGAGCGAACAGG